UACGUAGGGACCGAGCGUUGUCCGGAUUCAUUGGGCGUAAAGGGCUCGUAGGCGGUCUGUCGCGUCGGGAGUGAAAACUCAGGGCUUAACCCUGAGCUUGCUUCCGAUACGGGCAGACUAGAGGUAUGCAGGGGAGAACGGAAUUCCUGGUGUAGCGGUGGAAUGCGCAGAUAUCAGGAGGAACACCGGUGGCGAAGGCGGUUCUCUGGGCAUUACCUGACGCUGAGGAGCGAAAGUGUGGGGAGCAAACAGG
rnacentral:rRNA from 1 species